rnacentral:rRNA from 1 species
GGGUCAGUAGGUUGGUCGUGCCACCGGUACGUACUGGUCUCACUGAUUCCUCCUUCCUGAAGAACCGUAAUGCCAUUAAUUUGGUGUUGCGGGGAAACAGGACUGUUACGUUGAAAAAAUUAGAGUGUUAAAAGCAAGCUAACGCUUGAAUACAUUAGCAUGGAAUAAUGAAAUAGGACGAUCGAUCCUAUUUUGUUGUUUUCUAGGAUUGACGUA